AGUCUGGUGCCAGGAGCCGCGGUAAUCCCAGCUCCAAGAGUGUAUAUUAAAGUUGUUGCGGUUAAAAAGCUCGUAGUUGAAUUUCUGAAAAUAAUUUUAAAAUUGAUUUAACCGUCAUGAUUAAACAUUGUUAUCAUACUUAUUAUAUGGAAACAUAUAAUUAAAUUACUUUGAAAAAAUUAGAGUGUUCAAAGCAAGAUUCACAUCUGAAUAAUACAGCAUGGGAUAAUAAAAUAUGACAUUAGUUAAAAUUUGUUGGUUUCUUUGGCUAAUGUAAUGAUUAAAAGGGACAGUUGGGGUAAUUUAUAUUGGUCGGGGAGGGGUGAAAUCCUAUGAUCCUUCCAAGAUAAACUAGUGCGAAAGCAUUUUACCAGGAUGUUUUCAUUAAUCAAGAACGAAAGAUGGGGGAUCGAAGAUGAUCAGAUACCGUCGUAGUCUCAACCAUAAACUAUGUCGACUAAGGAUGAUAAAAUAUUAAAUGAAUGAUUUUUGUCGCACUUUACAAGAAAUUAUAAGUAUUCAGACUCCGGGGGGAGUAUGGUCGCAAGGCUGAAACUUAAAGGAAUUGACGGAAGGGCACCACCAGGAGUGGAACCUGCGGCUUAAUUUGACCCAACACGGGGAAACUUACUAGGUCAGGACACAGUAAGGAUUGACAGAUUGAAAGCUCUUUCUUGAUUUUGUGGGUGGUGGUGCAUGGCCGUUUUUAGUUGGUGGAUUGAUUUGUCUGGUUAAUUCCGAAAACGAACGAGACCUUAACCUGUUAACUAUGUGAUAUUAAAAUUCGAUUUAGGUCUAAUACUUUGAUAUUAAAAAUUAAAUACUUCUUAAAGGAACAAUUCAAACUUUAAUUGAAAGGAAGUUUAAGGCAAAAACAGGUCUGUGAUGCCCUUCGAUGUUCUGGGCUGCACGCGCGUUACACUGAUAUGUUCAAUAAGUUUUUAAAUUUCCUGGUUUGAAAAGACUUGGUAAACUUUGAAAAGCAUAUCGUGAUUGGGAUAGUAUUUUGUAAUUAUCGCACUUGAACGAGGAGUUCCUAGUAGGGGCAAUUCAUCAAAUUGCCCCGAUUACGUCCCCGCCCUUUGUACACACCGCCCGUCGCUUCUACCGAUUGAAUAAUACGAUGAGGAUUCAGGAUCGAAUAAAAUUAAUUGUUUGAAAGAAUGGUUAAGAUUAUUUGCUAAUUUAUUCAAAUCU
rnacentral:rRNA from 1 species